rnacentral:rRNA from 1 species
UACGAAGGGGGCGAGCGUUGUUCGGAUUCAUUGGGCGUAAAGGGUGCGUAGGCGGCGCGGUAAGUCGGGUGUGAAAUCUUGGAGCUUAACUCCGAAACUGCAUUCGAUACUGCCGUGCUUGAGGACUGGAGAGGAGACUGGAAUUUACGGUGUAGCGGUGAAAUGCGUAGAUAUCGUAAGGAAGACCAGUGGCGAAGGCGGGUCUCUGGACAGUUCCUGACGCUGAGGCACGAAGGUCAGGGGAGCAAACGGG